UACGUAGGGGGCGAGCGUUGUCCGGAUUUAUUGGGCGUAAAGAGCGUGUAGGCGGCCAGGUAGGUCCGUUGUGAAAAACUCGAGGCUCAACCUCGAGACGUCGAUGGAAACCCUCCAGCUAGAGUCCGGAAGAGGAGAGUGGAAUUCCUGGUGUAGCGGUGAAAUGCGCAGAUAUCAGGAAGAACACCCGUGGCUAAGGCGGCUCUCUAGUACGGUACUGACGCUGAGACGCGAAAGCGUGGGGAGCGAACAGG
rnacentral:rRNA from 1 species